GCCAGGCACAUGGUGCAUGCCUGUAGUCCCAGCUACUCGGGAGGCUGAGGUAGGAGGAUCGCUUGAGCCCAGGAGUUCUGGACCAUAGAGUGCUAUGCCAAUCGGGUGUCCGCACUAAGUUCGGCAUCAAUAUGGUGACCUCCCAGGAGCGGGGGACCACCAGGUUGCCUAAGGAGGGGUGAACUGGCCCAGGUCGAACGGAGCAAGUCAAAACUACCGUGCUGAUCAGCAGUGGGAUCACGCCUGUGAACAGCCACUGCACUUCAGUGGGGAACAUAGCGAGACCCUGUCUCU
rnacentral:SRP_RNA from 1 species